AUUCGUCGUAAACCGACGUUUCGACGUAAUUUCGUCGUAAAUUGAAAAACGCGGGCCUGGUAACUUCGUCGUAAAUGAAAACGCGGGCCUGGUAACUUCGUCGUAAUAUUACGUCGCGUUUACGACGAAUCCUUUUCUAUAUACUGAGACGCCGAGACGAGGCAGCCACGUUCAUUCCUCCCAAAUUCCUCUCCUCUCCCUCUAAGGUACAUUCUCUUUCCUCCUUUUUGUUUUUUUUUAAGUUAGUUUAGGUUAUUAAUUAGUUAGGUAAUUAGUUUAGGUAAUUAGUUUAGGUGAUUAGUUAGAUAAUUAGUUUAGGUGAUU
rnacentral:lncRNA from 1 species